rnacentral:rRNA from 1 species
AGCAGUAGCCACGGUAAUACGGAGGGAGCUAGCGUUGUUCGGAAUUACUGGGCGUAAAGCGCACGUAGGCGGUUAUUCAAGUCAGAGGUGAAAGCCCGGGGCUCAACCCCGGAACUGCCUUUGAAACUAGAUGACUGGAAUCUUGGAGAGGUCAGUGGAAUUCCGAGUGUAGAGGUGAAAUUCGUAGAUAUUCGGAAGAACACCAGUGGCGAAGGCGACUGACUGGACAAGUAUUGACGCUGAGGUGCGAAAGCGUGGGGAGCAAACAGGAUUAGAUACCCCCGUAGUCCCUGUCUCUUAUAC